rnacentral:lncRNA from 1 species
AGGUGUACACCAAUAGAUGAUUUAUUUCAUCUUUUUUCAAUUAAUAUAUCUUUCAUGAUAUUAAAAAUUUCUUUGAAAAAUAUCUCAACUCUAAAACUUUAAAAUGUUUCAUGAGACAUCCUUUAGGUGACUCUUAUAAAGAUUUUUGGCAGCAUAAAAUAUUUCACUUUAAAACAAAGUUAGCUAUUGUUUUGUUCCCAG